UCGGUGCAACAAAAGACUUGAGUUCAAGUGGUGGCAUUGGUCUGCUUGGACAUCAGGUGACUUCUCCAUCUGAACCUGCCCUACCAGCCCUUUUGGAGUGCCACCAAGCUGCCAAAGUGGGUCUAAACCCUGGAAAAGCCGGGAUUUCAGUGGAGAGUUGGGAUCCUUCAGCCUGGAGAAGAGAAGGCGCUGGAGAGACCCAAAGGCCCCAAACCAUUGCUCCAUCCCACCCAUGCUGAUGCCCGAAUCCUCUUCCCACGAGGGCCUCGAUUCCAUCCUGCGGCCAAAACCUGGACCCUUCGCGCUCCUCCCUCCACCUCCUGCCCGGAAGAGCUCCAGCGUCUUCUCCCCGGGCAGAGCCAUGAGGAGACGGAGGAGGAAUGUGAGCAGGG